rnacentral:rRNA from 1 species
AUGGAUCAGGAGCUGAUCGAGCAUCUUGAGGCCAAAGUGAGUGCUGACAGCGCGAGAUCUCACCCUCUCAUCGAUUUGUUCAUACCAACCAUCGACAGCGAGCACGACAUAUGCUACACCCAACCUGAGAAACUUCCAGGUAUCACACUGAGUGGCCUAAGGAAGAAUUUCUUCCAGCGCAAUUCCAGGGCAUUCAAAAGGGGCACGUGGAUGCGUCGCAAGAUACAGUCGGAGUGCGGCAUGCACGCGAUGUGGCACGAGACCGACAAUACCUUGCAGCAAAAAGGUUCUGGUGCUGCACACCAACGAGAACUUCGACCAGCAGAGCACCAACUGGGUGAUCCACCAGUACCACCUUGGGGACUUGGAGCAAGAGAAGGAGCGGGAGCUGGUCCUCUACAAGAUUUUCUACCAGACGAACACUAG